rnacentral:lncRNA from 1 species
CCCAAAUUAUGUCCUGGAAUUUUACACAGGAGUUACAAUUCUUUAGCAACUGUAACUAGUGGGGAGAAUACAAAUGUGGCUUUCAAGUGAAGUCACCCCACCUUGGGCCAUGACAAGAAAAGGCACUGAAGGAGAGGAUUGCAAUGACUGGUUUUCCUCUUGCCCUCCUCUAGCUGGGCACUGGCUUUUCUAUGCUUUCAGAGAAAGGGUAACUGAAGAGUACUCAAAGAACUAUGGCUGAGCUUCACUGAGACAUCAAAAAAUAAAAAUAAAAAUUCAGACAAUUGGGAGUCAGAGAAAUGACAAAGAUACCUGGCUCCCAGUCAAAUAGAGCUACUGGCGAGCCAGCUGAACAUUAUAUAAUAUAAAAAAAUUGUGGGAAUAAAUAAAUACUAAGGAAGUUGAGCAGAAGAGAAUACAUCUUAACCAUUGCAUCAAACCAGUACAACUUCAAGUAUGAUAAAGAUGGUUUUAAAAUAAGUCUAAAGAGAAAUAUCAGUUUUAAAAUAAUUGUAUGUGGGUAAAAAAUAAAA